rnacentral:lncRNA from 1 species
CAGAAUCAUCAAGUUACAAUUGGUAGAAUUGCUGUCAAGAUGCCGAUCACUUUUGGGAAUUCUACUUGAUCACUAUCUUGCUUGAGCAGUGAAUGUGCCUCUUUUUUAUUGUUUUUAUUCAUCUAUAUAUAUAUAUUGGUCGAAAAUAUGGAGGAAAAUAACCUAUAGCUGUCAAACAUGAACUUCAAGCAAAGGGCCUGAUUUGUCUCCCAUUUAGCAUGAAACUUUAGUUGAUACGAGUACAGAGUAUUUAGAUGGAAAUAUGGUACUUAUUAAACACUUUCUUCUACAGGUGAAUCUAUUACUUCAAGUUGCACAGAAAUGCCAAAGCACAAUUUCUGAAAAUGGAGCAGAUGGGGUUUCUCAGCAAGAUUUACUGGGUAAUAGUGCUAUGUGAGAAAACAGUCCUCUACUCUUAGUUUGCAGAUCCUUUCUUCCAAUUUAGUCCAUUUCAUUUGUAUCCUCUUUUCCGUCUUUGUUCAGGGAUCACAGAGAUAAUAUUCUUGCAAGCUAUUCAAGGUUCUUAUAAUUCGUGAUUGAAAGGAUAAUAAUUUGUGGCCUAAACAUUUAAUUAUCGCUGGCAUUUAGAACACAGUUUGAGAUGCUAGAUAUUUCAACUGGACUUGGAAGUGCAUCAUGAUUGUACACGUUCGCAUCUACUUUAUUAGGGUUUGUAGCAUGUAAUGUUUAAGGCCAUUGCUUCAGUAUAUGCAAUCACAUUGUGAUUGACGGUUUAGAAUGCUAGUUAAAAAUAAAACAUAAUAAUAUUUUCUCCCUUUUAUUCUUUGCCUCUUAGUUCUCUGUAUUUUUGUAUUAUUUGAUAUGAUUAGAAGAGAUCGAAGAGGCGACUGGUUCUAUUUCAAAACCUGUCAGAAGCUUAUCCAGGAAUUUUAUUUUACUUUAUUUUAUUUUUAUUUUUAUUUUUAUUUUUAAAUGUUUGACAGGUUCUUUGACUUAAUGAUGGAUCAUUUUCUAGACUGGAUUAACUUGACAAUUCUUGCUUAAAGGGUUAACCUUUCCUGUCCUGGAUAAAGAUAUUAAGGAAAGCCUGCCUACUAAGGUUCUCCUUUUAUGUUCAUUGGGGAGAAAAAAA